rnacentral:misc_RNA from 1 species
AUUCACAGUCACACUCACUUAGUCAAAUACCAAGAUCGAUCGAUCGAUGUACAAGUGGAUGCAUUAAUUCAUCAUCUUGGGUGUUCUUAUAUUACAAAUCACCACCAUGCAAGUCGCCAUUAACCACCAACCCAGCUUUCCUAAUUUAAGUAGUAAUCAACAAAAGGAUGACCUCUCCUCUCUCCAUACCCUCCCAGCUCGCUCGUCAUCACAAAACUAAACAGCGCGCGCGAACGCACACCAACGCAUCGAUCCCGUUUGAAUUGCGCGCGAAAGAGCUUAAAUUAAGAGGAUGAGGAGAAGGUGUCGAAGAUGGUGGUGUGGAGCGGGUCGCUGAGGUGGGUGGCCCAGUUGUUGAGGGGCCCCUUGCCGGUGGCGGCGGCCUGCACGGCGAAGCCGAGGAAGGCGACCAUGGCGAGGCGGGCGUGCUUGAUCUCCGCCAGCUGCAGCCGCUCCUUCUUCUCCGGGUCCGACGCCAACCCGAGCGGGUCGAAGUAGGACCCCCCCGGGUACAGCCUCUUCUCCGGGUCCAGCUCCGCGUUGCGCUGGAACUCGAUGUAGCCGAUGACGAGCACCUCGAUCCAGAUCAGCGUCGAGAUCGAGAACGGCAGCGGCUGCCCCAGGUACGACGACCCAUCCACCAGCUCCACCUUGCCGGCGUCUUGCCAGGUGACGCCGGUGAGCCACUCGACGGAGAGGGCGCCGAGGGUGGCGAGCAUGGCCCAGCGGCCGUGGAUGAGCUCGCACUCGCGGAAGCGCUGGAGGCCGAACACCUCGGUGUAGGGCUGGAACGGGGUGGACUUCACCUCGCCGGUCUCGAACCGGGUGCCGAUGAUCUCGCCGGCGUUGUUCUUGGCCAGGUUCUGGUCCAGCGAGUCCAGCUCGAACUGCAGGUACUCCGCCGGCUUCCCGAGGCCGAACGGGUCGAAGCCGUAGUCGCCGACGAGCGACCCGUCCAGGUAGUCCGGCGCCACCGCGCCGGGGAACCACAGCGGCCUGUCCGUCGUCGGCGCCGACGGCCUCGCCGCCUUCUUCGCCGCCGCCUUCUUCCCGCCGCCGAACCCGAACCUCGCCACGAUCCUCCCGCUCUGCGGCGCCGGGUCCGCCAGCCUCGUCCCCAGGAACGUGCUCGCCGCCGCUGCCACCGACGACGCCAUGGCUGCUCCUCUCCUUCUUCUCCUUCUUCGAGAAU